rnacentral:rRNA from 1 species
UGGGGAAUAUUGCACAAUGGGCGCAAGCCUGAUGCAGCCAUGCCGCGUGUAUGAAGAAGGCCUUCGGGUUGUAAAGUACUUUCAGUCGGGAGGAAGGUGUCAAGGUUAAUAACCUUGGCAAUUGACGUUACCGACAGAAGAAGCACCGGCUAACUCCGUGCCAGCAGCCGCGGUAAUACGGAGGGUGCAAGCGUUAAUCGGAAUUACUGGGCGUAAAGCGCACGCAGGCGGUUUGUUAAGUCAGAUGUGAAAUCCCCGGGCUCAACCUGGGAACUGCAUCUGAUACUGGCAAGCUUGAGUGUCGUAGAGGGGGGUAGAAUUCCAGGUGUAGCGGUGAAAUGCGUAGAGAUCUGGAGGAAUACCGGUGGCGAAGGCGGCCCCCUGGACGAAGACUGACGCUCAGGUGCGAAAGCGUGGGGAGCAAACAGG